ACCCUUAGAUGUUCUGGGCCGCACGCGCGCUACACUGAUGAAUGCAACGAGCUCUACCCUUGACCGAAAGGUCCGGGUAAACUUGUGAAACUUCAUCGUGAUGGGGAUAGAUUAUUGCAAUUAUUAAUCUUCAACGAGGAAUUCCUAGUAAGCGCGAGUCAUCAGCUCGCGUUGAUUACGUCCCUGCCCUUUGCACACACCGCCCGCCGCUCCUACCGAUUGAAUGGUCCGGUGAAAUCUUCGGAUUGCUGACCAAGAUCCAGCAAUGGAGCUUGGUUGCGAGAAGUUGAUUAAACCUUAUUAUUUAGAGGAAGGAGAAGUCGUAACA
rnacentral:rRNA from 1 species